rnacentral:rRNA from 1 species
GAUGAACGCUGGCGGCGUGCCUAACACAUGCAAGUCGAACGGAGCUGCUUUGAUGAAGUUUUCGGAUGGAUUUAAAGCAGCUUAGUGGCGGACGGGUGAGUAACGCGUGGGUAACCUGCCUCACACUGGGGGAUAACAGUUAGAAAUAGCUGCUAAUACCGCAUAAGCGCACAGUUCCGCAUGGAACAGUGUGAAAAACUCCGGUGGUGUGAGAUGGACCCGCGUCUGAUUAGCCAGUUGGCGGGGUAACGGCCCACCAAAGCGACGAUCAGUAGCCGGCCUGAGAGGGUGAACGGCCACAUUGGGACUGAGACACGGCCCAAACUCCUACGGGAGGCAGCAGUGGGAAAGAUUGCACAAUGGGGGAAACCCUGAUGCAGCGACGCCGCGUGAGUGAAGAAGUAUUUCGGUAUGUAAAGCUCUAUCAGCAGGGAAGAAAGUGACGGUACCUGAAUAAGAAGCCCCGGCUAACUACGUGCCAGCAGCCGCCGUAAUAC